rnacentral:rRNA from 1 species
GAUCAUGGCUCAAAUUGAACGCUGGCGGCAGGCCUAACACAUGCAAGUCGAACGGUAACAGGAAGAAGCUUGCUUCUUUGCUGACGAGUGGCGGACGGGUGAGUAAUGUCUGGGAAACUGCCUGAUGGAGGGGGGAUAACUACUGGAAACGGUAGCUAAUACCGCAUAACGUCGCAAGACCAAAGAGGGGGGACCUUCGGGCCUCUUGCCAUCGGAUGUGCCCAGAUGGGAUUAGCUAGUAGGUGGGGUAACGG